rnacentral:rRNA from 1 species
GACAGAGGAUACAAGCGUUAUCCGGAAUGAUUGGGCGUAAAGCGUCUGUAGGUGGCUUUUCAAGUCCGCCGUCAAAUCCCAGGGCUCAACCCUGGACAGGCGGUGGAAACUGCCAAGCUGGAGUACGGUAGGGGAAGAGGGAAUUUCCGGUGGAGCGGUGAAAUGCGUAGAGAUCGGAAAGAACACCAACGGCGAAAGCACUCUGCUGGGCCGACAUUGACACUGAGAGACGAAAGCUAGGGGAGCGAAUGGG